rnacentral:lncRNA from 1 species
ACUAGAUGAAUUACUUAUGAAUUUUAGAAGUUUUCUAGGUUUUUAGACUAAACAGAAAAGUCCUAAAUCAAUUAUUGCGCAAUUAAUGGGGCUGCUGACGUCAGCGGAGGGAGGUGGCGCUAACGGGUGGGGUCCACCUGUCGGUGGGAGAGGAGGCGAAAGGGGCACUGAUGGGUGGGCCGAGAGGAAGAGAGAGGAGAAAGGGAGGGGCGGUCGGCUGACGAGUGGGGCCCGCUCGUCGGCGGCCUAGCACAGAGGAGCGGGGCGGGAGUUUGGCCUGGAGAGAGAGAGGGGCGGCAGCGCUCGGGC